UCAUAUGGAUAAGCAAAGAAAGUUGUUUGUUGAGAUGGAAACUAUUCUUUGUGAAGAUGCUGUGGA
rnacentral:pre_miRNA from 1 species